rnacentral:lncRNA from 10 species
AGUGCCCAGUUAGUUUGCGCCAGCCUCUGAGUUCAGCUCAGAACACAGAUGAUCUCAUUGAUUCCUCACGUCAACCUUGGGAAAUCUGGGUACCCUGGGACGUCCACACAUGAGGACCGAGGCUCAGGGACAUCAAGGGACUGGCCUGGUCCCAGAAACAGGGAGUAAAAUGGGAAGUAAACUCAGUCCCACGUCUGCCUGACUCCAGAGUUUGGGCCACUGAACCAUGCGGCUGCCAUCUUGGAGUUCUUUGAGCUGUGAAGUGCUGUGCAUCGUGUGAUUCUGUGUCCCUUUUGUGCAGGUACCAGGAUUUCUAUGCAUUCGACCUGUCAGGAGCCACUCGAGUCCUUGAAUGGAUUGAUGACAAAGGAGUCUUUGUUGCUGGCUAUGAAAGCCUGAAAAAGAAUGAAAUUCUUCAUCUGAAAUUACCUCUCAGACUUUCUGUAAAGGAAAACAAGGGCUUAUUCCCAGAAAGAGAUUUCAAAGUGCGCCAUGGAGGAUUUUCAGACAGGUCUAUCUUUGAUCUAAAGCAUGUGCCACAUACCAGGUAUGGUCAAUUUUGUG